ACAACCAACCAAACAUACCAAACAUAAGCAGAAGAGCCUUUUUCUGGGCAGUGAAUGACGAACGUUACUGCUUUUGCGUCAUACUGAAGCUCACGUUGACCGCCAUGUUUAGGAAGAUUCAUUAGCGCAAUUUUAACGUCCAGCAAUGACACUCACUUUACCAGGAAAAAAUUCGUUUUUUUCCUCCUAAACACGAGUCAACUGAUGUGAAAUUUGAAAGGUGGAAGCAGCUUCGGACUUCCCGGAGUUGGCAUUAUAUUUGUUGGAAAGCCGCCAUCCCAACCCCUUAUCCUCUCCCCACCCCUCUACCAGUCUUUGUCUCCUCCAGAGUCUCGAGGAGCUUGAUAUGGAGCUUAUGGGAAAAAGGAGGAAGAUCAAUCCUUGUGUCAGCAGCUCAGCACACAUCUCUCCCAGUAACGGCAGGACAAGUGUCAGCUGGAGGAGAUGCAGCCGCCAUGCAGAGAGAGAGAAAGAGAGAGUGAGUGAACAAAGGGGUUGAGGGGAUGGUGGUGGGAGGAUGAGAAAGAGAGCCCUCUGCACGGCAGCCAAGCAAGUGAGCAAGCGAGCGGCCCAGCCCAAGGGAGUGCACCUCCAGUAGACAAAAGAUCAAUUCUCUCCAUUUCACUCUCAGCUCCUGAUAACAAGCAAAAGCUGUCUUGCCUUUGAAAUGUGCAUUCUGGUGUGCUACACACAUGCAGUUGCACAGUUACACUCUCAUACAGAUGGCAUACACACAAACACAGUCACACACUUAUAUUUGAAGGCUAAGUGGUUUCAGGAGUGAUAAGAAAUAAUUAGGGAUGCAUUGACUGUGUAAUUCUGGGCCGAUACUGAUGUUUAAAAUACACAAUUAGGCAGAUGUUUUUGUUGUUUCUUUUGUUUUUGUUGUUAUUUCCCCCUUUUGUGCCAGUAAAACACAGAUUAAUUCAUCUAUUCAAGAACAUAUUUUUUCUUUUUAGGCAUGUGCCGAUUGGUGAGCAGAUAGUCAGCGUUUAAAGGGAUGAUUGACUAUUUGUGUUUUCCUACGCCAAUUAGAGUGACAAUUUCAACUUACUAUCAAAUCUAAGAUGUUAUAAAAAUAAUUUUAGAGUCUGCGCCCUAUUGUGCAUUUAGUAAUGUUUCUGGGGGAGUGGCUUGUCUGUCUGCUGAGCCGCAUGAGUGAACAUUUUAUUUUCCGUCUCUUUUUUCAUGGAUGUGACACAUCUCCAUUCUCCAUUAGCAUGUGCUCACCUAAACUAUGCUCCGCGCUCCAUAAGAGUAGUUAUUGCAAUGGACAUAGGCAGAAUUUGACAUUCGAGCCGGGGGACAAAAAAAAUAAAGAAAACUAAUUGUAGCAGCUGAGACCUGGCCUACUACUUGGGGAACACAGCACGAGCACAUGUGAACAAAACAAACAAUUUUAAAUUACAUUCAAACAAUUUAACAGUUUGCCCUUAUAAAAUCCAAUUGAGGCACAGUUGUCUUGGAACGCAGUAAGCAGAAGGUGGUGGAAUGCCCUGACACUUACAUUCAGCUGAAAUGUAACAGUGAACAAUCAGUGUUGGACCUAUAGUCCGUUGAGAUGCCUCUCCAAACGCAGAAACAAAGCACAAUCACACCAUGAAACCUUUAAGAAAAAAGAUCCGUAUUUUGACAUGACUCAAUGACA